AAUGGAAGCUGCAGGAAGCAACCAUGUGGGCAAAUGAAAAAUGUCUUUGUCUGCAGAUUGCAGCAAUCCUACAUAAACAUGGAGGUCUCUGUCUGGCUUAGAACAACUGGCUAAGUCCGAUCGUUCCCCUCCAUACAUC
ensembl:scaRNA SCARNA3 small Cajal body-specific RNA 3